AAUAGGUAAAAAUUUAGGUAGUAUGAGUAGGUUAAGAGAGAUAACUUGAUGAGGUUAGAUUGUGUAUUAAAAAUUUACGAAUAAUUGAGUAUUUUGUACUGUGAGGGUAUAUAGUAGCUAUGUUAAAGUAAUAAGUUUUGUACCUUUUGUAUCAGGGUUUGCUAAAUUUAUUAAUUUAUUUUAAUUUCCCGGAGAAAAGUGAGCUAUUGGAUAAGUUUUUAUUGUGGUAUAAAUGGGGUAUAAUUAUACAGUAGGAGUGAGAUACUAACGGACUUUUUGAUACCUGGUUCUAAUAGAAAUAUAUGAGUAUAAUAUGAACUAAUGAGUUAGUUCAAGUAAAGAGUAUUGGGGCUAAGCUCAAUGUUUAAUUGUUAUAUUAUUGUUUAGUYGUAUUUGUAUGAGGUUUAAGAGUGGCUUUUUGUUUAAUAACAUAUGAGGGUUUUGUUAAGAUUAAUUAGGUAUGUUAGAUUUUUGGUAAAUUUAUUCCUCUAGUAAUAAUGGUAAAAUUAGUAGAAGAAAUUAUAUUUUGAUUAGUUGGACUUAGAGUAUGGAUACUAGGAUUAUAGAUUAUAAUGUGCUAUAAAGGAACUCGGCAACUAUACUCCUUAACUGUUUAUCAAAAACAUUUUUUUAAGUGUUAGGAGUUAAAGUAGGUUCUGCCCACUGAUUUGAUUAAAGGGCCGCAGUAGC
rnacentral:rRNA from 1 species